rnacentral:rRNA from 1 species
GGUGGGGUGGAAACGGAUAGAGCCAGCGUUCUGACUCGUAUUCAGCGGUUCGACCUGCAGGGGCGUUCGGUGCUCUGUUCGAGUUGCUGUUCGCAUCCGGUGGGCAGUUCUGCGCAUUUGCGGGUGGAGAGCACUGAGGGGCGUUGGAGYGGCGGUGGGGGUUGCGUUCAGAGGAAGUGCUCCGGCAUCGAUCCUGUUCUCUUCCAAUCACUCGUUGCUUUGACGUCGCUGCCGGGGAGUGGUUGCGAAGCGGGGUUGGUCUUUCGCRAGGCUUGAGGGUCGCUUGCGAUCAUCCUGCCAUUGGCUUUAGAUCCAGCUCUGUCCGAGCUGCCGUUCUCACCUCGGUGUAGCUGUGGUCACCUAUCCGACCCGUCUUGAAACACGGACCAAGGAGUUUAACGUAUACGCGAGUCAUUGGGCGGCAAACCCAUAGGCGCAAUGAAAGUGAUCAACGGGAUGCGACCCCUUUCCGCAAGGUGGGGAGCAGCAUCGCCCUGCGAGGUUCACUGCGGUGUCCCCGCUGAGGCAGAGCGUAUGCGAYGAGACCCGAAAGAUGGUGAACUAUUCCCGAGCAGGAYGAAGCCGGGGGAAACUCCGGUGGAAGUCCGAAGCGGUUCUGACGUGCAAAUCGA